AUUGAACGCUGGCGGCAGGCCUAACACAUGCAAGUCGAGCGAGCGGCGGACGAGUGAGGACUGUAUGGGUACUGCCCGAUAGAAGGGGAUAACUACUGGAAACGGUAUCUAACACCGGAUACGAUCGGAUAACCCAUAUGGGAUUAGUUAGUGGGUGAGGUAAUGGCUCACCUAGGCGACGCUCCCUAGCUGGUCUGAGAGGAUGUUCAGCCACCCUGGAACUGAGACACGGCCCAGACUCCUACGGAGGCAGCAGUGGGGAAUAUUAGACAAUGGGCGCAAGCCUGAUGCAGCCAUGCCGCGUGUGUGAAGAAGGUCCUCGGAUUGUAAAGUACUUUCAGUCGGGAGGCGUUACCGACAGAAUAAGCACCGGCUAACUCCGUGCCAGCAGCCGCGGUAAUUC
rnacentral:rRNA from 1 species